UCGAGAAUUUUUCACAAUGGGCGAAAGCCUGAUGGAGCGACGCCGCGUGGGGGAUGAAUGGCUUCGGCCCGUAAACCCCUGUCAUUCGCGAGCAAACGUUAUUAUUUAAAAGAUGAUAGCCUGAUAGUAGCGAAAGAGGAAGGGACGGCUAACUAUGUGCCAGCAGCCGCGGUAAUACAGAGGUCCCAAGCGUUGUUCGGAUUUACUGGGCGUAAAGGGUGCGUAGGUGGUGGGGUAAGUCGGAUGUGAAAUCUCCGAGCUCAACUCGGAAAGUGCAUUCGAGACUAACCUGCUCGAGUGUUGGAGGGGGGACUGGAAUACUUGGUGUAGCAGUGAAAUGCGUAGAUAUAUAGUGAAACACCAGUAGCGAAGGCGAGUCCCUGGACAACUACUGACACUGAGGCACGAAAGCUAGGGGAGCAAACAG
rnacentral:rRNA from 1 species